rnacentral:rRNA from 1 species
UACAUAGGUAGCAAGCGUUAUCCGGAAUAACUGGGCGUAAAGGGAGUGUAGGUGGUUAUAUAAGUCACAUGUGAAAGCCUUGGGCUAAACCCAAGAAAUGCAUGUGAUACUGUGUAACUAGAGUGUGAGAGGGGUAAGUGGAAUUCCUAGUGUAGCGGUAGAAUGCGUAGAGAUUAGGAGGAACACCAGAGGCGAAGGCGGCUUACUGGCUCAUAACUGACACUGAGGCUCGAAAGCGUGGGGAGCAAACAGGAUUAGAUACCCUGGUAGUCCACGCCCUAAACGAUGGAUACUAGAUGUAGGUAGAAUCAACUCUAUCUGUAUCGAAGCUAACGCGAUAAGUAUCCCGCCUGAGUAGUACGGCCGCAAGGUUGAA